rnacentral:siRNA from 1 species
GGUUCAAUAAAGCUGUGGGAAG